rnacentral:rRNA from 1 species
CCCUUAGAUGUUCUGGGUCGCACGCGCGCUACACUGAUGCGAUCAACAAGUUUUUCCUAUGUCGAUAGACACGGGUAAUCUUUUGAACUCGCAUCGUGAUGGGGAUAGAUUAUUGUAAUUAUUAAUCUUCAACGAGGAAUUCCUAGUAGGUGCAAAUCAUCAGUUUGCAUCGAUUACGUCCCUGCCCUUUGUACACACCGCCCGUCGCUGCUACCGAUUGGUUGAUCUGGUGAAUUAUUCGGACUGCCGGCUGAAGGGGUUUCCUCAUCUGCCAGCGGAAAGUCUUGUUAACCCUAUCAACUAGAGGAAGCAGAAGUCGUAACA